CGCGUAGGCUGUUUGGUAAGUUGGGCGUGAAAUUCCUGGGCUUAACCUGGGGGCUGCGUCCAAGACUGCCUGACUUGAGGAUGGAAGAGGCUCGUGGAAUUCCCAGUGUAGAGGUGAAAUUCGUAGAUAUUGGGAAGAACACCGGUGGCGAAGGCGGCGAGCUGGUCCAUUACUGACGCUGAGGCGCGAUAGCGUGGGGAGCAAACA
rnacentral:rRNA from 1 species